rnacentral:rRNA from 1 species
AUUGAACGCUGGCGGCAUGCCUUACACAUGCAAGUCGAACGGCAGCACGGGAGCAAUCCUGGUGGCGGGUGGCGAACGGGUGAGUAAAGUAUCGGAACGUGCCCAGUCGUGGGGGAUAACGUAGCGAAAGUUACGCUAAUACCGCAUACGAUCUAUGGAUGAAAGCGGGGGAUCGCAAGACCUCGCGCGAUUGGAGCGGCCGAUAUCAGAUUAGGUAGUUGGUGGGGUAAAGGCUCACCAAGCCGACGAUCUGUAGCUGGUCUGAGAGGACGACCAGCCACACUGGGACUGAGACAGGGCCCAGACUCCUACGGGAGGCAGCAGUGGGGAAUUUUGGACAAUGGGCGAAAGCCUGAUCCAGCCAUGCCGCGUGCAGGAUGAAGGCCUUCGGGUUGUAAACUGCUCUUGUACGGAACGAAAAGGUUUGGGCUAAUAAGCUGAGCUCAUGACGGUACCGUAAGAAUAAGCACCGGCUAACUACGUGCCAGCCGCCGCCGUAA